GAAAAUGGGUUGCUUAGCCCUGGUCUUGCACCAGACUGAAACUUACUCAAAUUUACUUUAAGUGCGUUCAAUAAACUUGUGACAGGGAAAAGCAAGAUGGAGGUAUUAAACCUAAAGAAUAAGUUGCCCAGAUGUGAACAUUAUUCCCCUAUUAUCGAGCCUUAUUUAAGAGCUAUUGCUUUUGAAUCUAUGACUUCCAAUUAAAUCAAGUCCUUAAAGGUUUUGGGACUUCAAUAUUUGCCCAGGAACUGAAUGGGCUAACCUGCCUUGGCGAAUUGCUAUAGGCAUGGCAUUUGGGUUGUCUGUGAAAGACAUUGUAGCACAAACUGUUUGAAAAUGGGCUGCUUAGUCCUGGUCUUGCACCAGACUGAAACUUACUCAAACUUGCUUUAAGUGCGUUCAAUAACCUUGUGACAGGGAAAAGCAAGAUGGAAAUAUUAAACCUAAAGGCCAAGUUGCCCAGAUGUGAACAUUAUUCCCCUGUUAUCUAUUCAAAUUCUAAUGCUAUUUUGAAGAGGUCACUUCAAGCGAAUUAACACUAAAAGUAUAAUCAUUCAUGUGAAAUUGUCAAUCUGUGAAUUUAUACUAAUGGUUAUAAAAAACAAACACGGCCAUCCUAAUGAUUAACAACUAUAUUAUGAAAUCAAACUUACCUAAUCAAAACUGAAUAACACUUUUAGCAUGAGCAGACUAAGCAAAUUAACUGAUCUCAAUGUUAAGGCACCUUACGAAUAGUUCAAGAGUCCAAUUUUAUACGUCUUAUCCAUCAAAAAAUUUGUUUUAAAUAUAUGGAAUACAAACAGAACUGGAAAACUCAAGUAAUUCCACUACAUUCAUCAUUUUCAACUCUUCAACAUCAAAUUUACAAUGACUCCUUCACAGUUCUUAAGAGAUCGAGGUGGUACCUGGAAAUAUGACGAGCAGAAGGAGCAGUUAGCAACAGAAGCGCAAACAACUACAAUUUGGAUUUCACACAGUAACAAACAUAGCCGAUUUCGAACCAGAAACUAGUCAGUGACCCAAAGUAACCCAGAAAUGCUUUAAACCAAACAACAAUGAUAUAUCAACCACAAGACAGCACCAAAAUCCCCAAAAAUGAACACAGGAAAUCAGCACACUCAACAAAUGAACCACAAUUGACUCGAAUUAGCAAAAUCCAAUACCUAGAUUACUCGAACUACUAAUAAAUCUCAGAUAUUGCACAGAACAAGAAAAUUCAAGUAGCUUCAAUCCUAACUGAGCUAGUGACAUGAACUACAUGGUGGAAUCUAAAAAGGACAUAAGGAGUACUAAUGUGAAAGCAAUUUUUUUGGAUUUUCUAUUGCUUUGUGUAUUUUUUUAGAUAUUCAGAUGAAGAGGGAGAUUCGAAUUUUAGAUCUGGUGUUACAAUAUGAAAUUCAAAUCUUAGUUUUGGUGGAGACGUAGAGAAUUUUUGGGGGAGAUCUUUGGGCUCCAAAACCUGUUAUUCAAGGCAUUAUUCAUGCCUUUUUAUAGGCCAAUGGAGGGGCAUCCCUCACAUUUCUGUUUCCCUAUUAGUCCCUUUUUAUUUUCAGCUUUGGUCCAUCAUUUUUUAACUUGUUUUCCAAGUUACUGCUUUUAAAAAGCUGAAACUUACACUAAAGCCCCCUUCUAGAAGGCCCUAGGAUGUUCUUUUACCUAUACAAUACCUAUACUACCCUUAUUUUGGUUUUGAAAUUACUAUUCCUGACAAAAUAGCCCUUUUCCAUGUCCAAACUACCCUUGAAUACUUAAUAAAAUUCCACCAAACCCUUUUGCCUUAGUUAAUAUUCAACUAUGGUUAAAACCAGUGAUUCUACAUAAGCUAUAUCUAAACCCUAAGCCUAACUAACUUGAAAAUGAACACUAAAUUGAAGAACAAUCAAAGCUAAACUAAUUAAACUAACAAAAUAUUAAUUCAAUCAAAAAAAUCAAACAGUACCCAAAAUAGAUUUGAAACUAAAAUCGAACAGGAAACAACGAUCAAAUUGCAAAGUUAAUACUCAUGUGUUUAAACCAAAUAUUACACUGCUAAUGAGAAUCAAACUAAUGAUUAGAAUUAAACUAAUACCUAUAAUGAAACUAGCCAAAACAUAAUGAAACAUCGAAAAUUAAACUAAUAAGAACCCAUUACUGCAAUUCGAGUCAAAUUGGAACAAAAGCAAACAAAUACAUUGGAUCAAUACGGACACACAUAAAAAAUAGAAGGAAAUUAAGAAACUCAUUGUUUUUGACUUUAAUGUGUUAACUUGAAAUUGGCCAGAGGUGACUUGGCUUGAAAUUGCUUGACCAAUAUUAGUGUUGAACCGUGUGUUUUCCAUGAGAAAAUACACGGAUAAACCUUAUAAUGGUCAAGCCAUCAAUAGAAACCCUAACUCGCAACACUAGGGUUAUUUAGCCGGCCUUCAACCCAAAAUUGGAAGAUUUCCGGAAUGAUUUGAGGGUUAUGGGCUACGAUUCGUAAAGAGGAGGGUGGGGAGAACACAUGGUGUUAAUUUGGUGGAUUUUUGAGCAAGUAAGGUUUUAAGCCGGCAUUUCGAUCUAUGAUUUGAGAAGAUCGGCUAGGAUUUGAGGUGGGAUUUGGGGAUUUGGAAAGAGGAGGGGACGGAUUCAAUGUUAUAAUUUUGGGGUCCAUCGGAGCAUCGUCGCCGGCGGAGACAAUUUCCUGCCGACGGCGGACGGCGGAGGACGGCGAGGUAACGAGAUUGUACGAGGAAGAGAAGAAAUAUUUCUUAGAGUUAAUGAAAUUUUGGAUAUUUUUAACUAAUAUGAAGAAAUAACAUGGGCCGUUGGAUCAGAGGAGGUGAAGGGUUGAGAAUUAACGACGCCAAACGAGGUCGUUUGGUUAGAAGGGGAGGCUGGGAUUGGGUUGGAGAUGGCUGGGCCUAGGUCGUUUGGUACGGUUGGGCUAAGAAUCCUUAAUU
rnacentral:lncRNA from 1 species